UGACAUGAUGAACAAUGUGAGAUCAAAUUAUCUAUGUGUUUUUUUUUUGAGCCAAGACCCAAAAUUGUCAUAAGAAAACUGUCAGACCUGUCUUCCUUUAUCGAACUUGUCCAAAUAAUCUUACACAAUUUGCUCCACAUCAAACAUCAUCAUCGAGACUAAUUAGUAAUCCGCCAUCAAAUUUCGUCACACUCAUAUAUAUAUUUAUAUGCACAAAAUUAAGGAUAAUUCUACUUUAAUCUUCCUUGACAAAUAAAACUAUUAGGUUUCAACAAUAAGCAACAAAAACUAUAUAUAUAUAUUUCACCAGUCGUCAUUGCAUACAAUCAUUAAACCAACAUAUGAAGUUACAAAUUCACGUUCAAAAUUUAUAAGAACAUAAAUUGCAGUAAAAAUUUUACGGAUCCACGGCUACAAGCGAGGGAGAUUCUUGGGAAGGAACUGGAGCGGGGCGGGGCUUCUGCUUGUCUUGAUUAGCUUUGUGCUUCUCGUACUUAUCGAUCGCCUCCCUGCAAAUAAGCCCAAGUAGAACUGCGCUGCCGUACAACACAUAAGUGCCUACUUUGCCUUCCACCAUAUUUAUGUUCGUACCAACACACACAAUCCUCUUGUUGUCCUAAGAGAGAGUUGAUAAAGCCAAAGGUGCUAAGUGUUUUAUUUUGUUAUUUUCAAACGUUAUUUAGGCGUAUUAUAUUUUAAGGUAAAAUGGCCUAAUAGUAGCAAUUAGCAAUGACCCAACUACCACAUCCACAUGUCUCAAACGUUAGUUCAUUUUGUGUUUCUGAUUUCACUACAAAAUAUUAGAUAAUAUAAUAUUUUGAACCGAAAAUCUUAUUUUAAAUUAUGUUUUUAAUUUUCUUUAACAUAAUAGUAUUUCAUAUUAUGCUUUAAUAUGAUAUUUGGGACUAUUGUUUUAGAAUCAUUAGGUGGUAUUUGAGAUCUUAUUUCUCAUAUUUGUGUGAGGAAAGACUGACAUCCAAUUUUUAAAUAUGGUUUAUGCUAGGUGAGUUUCUUGUUAAAGAAGACUACAUAAAAGGAAAAAUAGAGUUGGGGGAAGCAAGUAGCACUACCCGAAUUCGGAACCAGGACGCCUAUAUUUUGCCUUCAUGCAUUUUAC
rnacentral:lncRNA from 1 species